rnacentral:lncRNA from 1 species
GUAAUUAAUGCCAGUCUCAGCAGGAUAUUAUAGAAAAAAUGUCAUGUCAAAUCUGAUCUCAUAUUUUUAAUGAGCAGAAUUGAAAAAUGUAUUUUUGAUGGUUUGGCUUCCCUGUAUGACUAAGGGAUACCCUAGACAUUAUUUUACGUGCCAUUGAGUGACCCAUUUCCACUUCUGCACUGUAGAGUCUACAUUAACAGUCACCAUGUAAGACUCCUACUUCUUUAAGCUGCAGCCAAUGUUGUCCAAUGGUUGGGGAUGAAUGCACUAAAGGCCACACAUUUUUCAUUCCUGAUCUAAAGUGGUAUUCCCUGUCCCUUCUCCACCUCAGCAGUGGACAAUGGUGGUAACACAGCAUCAUGUGAUGAGCAUUUGUAGACAUUAGACUGGAUUCUCUCAGCACACUAUGCGGAAGUAGCAGGGGUUCAGAUAAGGACACCUGUAUAGGACAUAAUUGUAUCAUCUGAGAGUAUCCAUUAUUGGUACAUCAAUAAAGCUACCAGGUGAUUAAUUCUUGGAAGGGGAAUCUACCAACCCUCCCAGCAUAUAAUUAAAAAAAUUCUUAAAACGUAAUAAUAGUAGCAGGACAUGAUAUAAAUAAAGCACUUAUUAGGUUAUUUAAAUCUGUAAAUACAUCUCAGCAAGUAAUUCUAAUGAGCAAUCACUUUCUGUGAAAGAUAGGAUACCCGAAGGAACUGAUGCAAGUCUGCUGGAAGACAACCUUUUCAUCGGUAUUCUGGAAAAAGAUAAAACAUGUACAAUUAAUGCUGAUUAAAUAUGUUUAUGAUUCAGAGGUUGAAUGUGGUCAGAGAAAAAGAAAUGCAGUAAUCUCUCAGUGAGACAAAGUCAAUAAACAUUAUAUUUCAGCAGUAUGUCUAGCAUAGCUAUUCAGCAUUUUUUGGUGAAUUGUUACUCUGGGGGAAGUAGGGAUAUGAUGAGGAAAAGCUGUAGUAUGAGAAGUAGAUAUGGCCCCUCCCCUGACUUCCUGUGUUGUAGCUCCUUCUUUCUUCUAUGGAAUGCUGGACUUGGUUGCCAUAUUGCAUGGCUGGGGUACUAGCUGAAGAAUGAUACUUGCAGUGGUGAACCUUGGGGUCUCAAAUUUCAGCAGCAGCCUGUGCAACACCAAAAUUUUGUACCCCCUGCCUCUCACCUUCCAUUCUAUGUCAGGCUCCACACCCAGUGCAACUGAACCUGUUGUGCUCCCUUAUAUCCAACUCUGAUACAGGCAACAAUAUUGAAGGUAGAGGGACCCCUGACUGUUAGGUCCAAUCAUGGAUGACUCUGGGAUUGUGGCGCUCAUCUCGCUUUACAGGCUGAGGGAGCCAGCAUAUAGCGUAUAUGUGGCCAGCAUGACUAAGCCUCUUCUGACAAACCAGAGCAGCACACGGAAACACCAUUUACCUUCCCGCCAGAGCGGUACCUAUUUAUCUACUUGCACUUUUGGGUGUGCUUUUGAAUUGCUAGGUUGGCAGGAGCAGGGACCGAGCGACGGGAGCUCACCCUAUUGUGGGGAUUGAAACCGACAACCUUCUGAUCGGCAAGCCCUAGGCUCUGUGGUUUAACCCACAGCACCACCUGUGUCCCAAAUGCCAAAUGGCUAUACAGUGGUACCUCAGGUUACAGACGCUUCAGGUUACAGACUCCACUAACCCAGAAAUAGUACCUUGGGUUAAGAACUUUGCUUCAGGAUGAGAACAGAAAUCCCGCAGCAGCAGCGCAGCGGGAGCGGGAGGCCCCAUUAGCUAAAGUGGUACCUCAAGUUAAGAACAGUUUCAGGUUAAGAACGGACCUCCAGAACAAAUUAAGUUCUUAACCCGAGGUACCACUGUAUAUACUUUUAUUUGGUGGGAAUGGCAUCUGCAGUAUUAGCUUCCCACCAGGAAUUCCAGGACUGGUCUUUAUGACUCCCAUUCUCCAGCAGAAAAAGAUGCUGCAUUGAGGGCCUUCAUCUUCACCUGCUCCAAUGUAAGUUUCUUUGCCUUUAGGAAGGGGAAAGAGGAGGUGUGACAGCAGGGACGGGUUUUCUUGAGCCCCCUCAAGGGCUUUGCAUGCAUGUGCAGGAAAACCAUGGCCACUUUUGGAGUGAGCAUGGACAACAGUGCAUCCUUAAACUCCGUAUGCAACAUAUAAGCAUAUUUGCAUCACCAGACUUGGUAACUUAUAGAGAAGAAGUACUAAAUGCUCCAUCUUUUCCCACUUUUCUGGACUGUAUCCAGUUGGAAUUAGUGAAAUGCCCCCAAAUCCUUCAGAUGUUUAGUUCAGGCUCAAACCUCCAUAUUUUCUCAGAUGCUAUUAUAGGUAUAAAUCAGAGGCAGCUUACAUGUGUGUAGGUGUGGCAGCCCUGUGGCCGUGGACCUUUGCCUGCUUCUCAGUCAGAACCUAGCUUCAGUUGCAGUUACAAAGUCAGACAGAAAAUGAAAUAUUGUAGUCUGCAGAUUCAGCAACCCUGUACACGCUGAGGAACUGAUUGAUAAAUCCCUGCAAUGACUGCAGUAAGUAGAGGAAGGGAGGGACAGAAAGAGAGAGAGAAGCAGGGAGGAACUAGGGAGGAGGAGGAGGGCAUAGAAAUGUAGGAAUCUGAUCCAUACCAGGUCAGAUUAUUCAUCCAUCUUGUCCAAUAGUUUCUAUAUUGAGACAGGAGCAGCUGACUUCAAGGGUGGCACCUUGCUGCCACUCACCAGGAUGGUGCGGGAGUGGCAGUGGGGUUGGGGCUGCACGAGUGCACCAAGGAAGCCUGCCUGGUGCUCCCGCAGGUGCAGUUUUGCAGCAGCCAGUUCACCACCAGCAGCCCUGUUCCAUUCCAGGAAGUGGUAGGCCUUGCUCUACAGCCGCCACUCCUGUUGGAUGAGCAACAGCUCUGUGGCAGAGAAACGCUGGUCUGGUUUAUCUAACAGAACUGAAAUCAGUGAGGACAGUCAAUCUGAGUGGGACAUUUUUUUAAAAAAAUAGGGGUUUUUUAUUUGAAAUACUUUAAGGAAUAUUACAGUUUCUGUAGACAUGCAUAAUGUAUAAAUAAUC